AUCAUUACAAUUGUUUCUAAAAAAGGGCGUGCAAAAUAUGAUUUUACCAUCUUUUUGAUGAAAAUAUCCUUAACUAAGGAACCAUGGGGGGCCAGGGCCCCAUCUUAUUCCAUAAAUAUCUUCCUCUCCCUCCAUUUCAGUUCAACAUAAAAUUUGAAGCUCUAAUUGGAAUAAUCCAUGGUGGUUGAGAAAGAACUUUGCAAUUUUGCUUUUAUGCUAAACCAUGUUUUGGAGCAUCAAGAAGCAAAAGCCACAGUACUUGAUACAAGCAGAGGAGCUAAUAAAGCAGUUUGUGUGUAAAUUUCUCAAAACAUCCCCUUUUGAAACAAAAAAUUCAGUUCAAU
rnacentral:lncRNA from 1 species